CACGUAGGGCGCGAGCGUUGUCCGGAAUUAUUGGGCGUAAAGGGCUCGUAGGCGGUUUGUCGCGUCGGGAGUGAAAACACCGGGCUUAACUCGGUGCUUGCUUUCGAUACGGGCAGACUGGAGGCAUGCAGGGGAGAACGGAAUUCCUGGUGUAGCGGUGAAAUGCGCAGAUAUCAGGAGGAACACCGGUGGCGAAGGCGGUUCUCUGGGCAUGUCCUGACGCUGAGGAGCGAAAGUGUGGGGAGCGAACAGG
rnacentral:rRNA from 1 species